CCGAGUUUACAACUCCCAAACCCAUGUGAACAUUACCACUGUUGCCUCGGCGGAUCUUCUGCCCGGUCCGGUCCAACCCGGACCAGGCCCGCCAGAGGACCACUCAAACUCUUGUAUACCCUCCGGUUUUAUAUCUGUACCAUCUCCCUCGCGUAAACCAUUCGAAAUAAAUCA
rnacentral:misc_RNA from 1 species